rnacentral:rRNA from 1 species
ACGGGAGGCAGCAGUGGGGAAUAUUGGGCAAUGGGCGCAAGCCUGACCCAGCAAUGCCGCGUGAAGGAAGAAGGCUUUCGGGUUGUAAACUUCUUCUAAGAGGGACGAAAAUGACGGUACCACUUGAAUAAGCUCCGGCUAACUACGUGCCAGCAGCCGCGGUAAUACGUAGGGGGCAAGCGUUAUCCGGAUUUACUGGGUGUAAAGGGCGUGUAGGCGGUACUGCAAGUCAGAUGUGAAAGCACGAGGCUCAACUUCGGGUCUGCAUUUGAAACUGUAGUACUUGAGUGUUGGAGAGGCUAGCGGAAUUCCUAGUGUAGCGGUGAAAUGCGUAGAUAUCAGGAAGAACACCGGUGGCGAAGGCGGUUAGCUGGACAGUAACUGACGCUGAGGCGCGAAAGCGUGGGUAGCAAACAGGAUUAGAUACCCUGGUA